GAUGAACGCUGGCGGCGUGCCUAAUACAUGCAAGUCGAGCGAACGGACGAGAAGCUUGCUCCUCUGAUGUUAGCGGCGGACGGGUGAGUAACACGUGGAUAACCUACCUAUAAGACUGGGAUAACUUCGGGAAACCGGAGCUAAUACCGGAUAAUAUUUUGAACCGCAUGGUUCAAAAGUGAAAGACGGUCUUGCUGUCACUUAUAGAUGGAUCCGCGCUGCAUUAGCUAGUUGGUAAGGUAACGGCUUACCAAGGCAACGAUGCAUAGCCGACCUGAGAGGGUGAUCGGCCACACUGGAACUGAGACACGGUCCAGACUCCUACGGGAGGCAGCAGUAGGGAAUCUUCCGCAAUGGGCGAAAGCCUGACGGAGCAACGCCGCGUGAGUGAAGAAGGUCUUCGGAUCGUAAAACUCUGUUAUUAGGGAAGAACAUAUGUGUAAGUAACUGUGCACGUCUUGACGGUACCUAAUCAGAAAGCCACGGCUAACUACGUG
rnacentral:rRNA from 1 species